ACUACGAGUAAAGAUGCUCGUUUCGCGCAGCAGGACGGAAAGACCCCGGGACCUUUACUACAGUUUGAUAUUGGUGUUCGGUUCGGCUUGUGUAGGAUAGGUGGGAGACUGUGAUACGGGCACGCCAGUGUUCGUGGAGUCGCUGUUGAAAUACCACUCUGGUCGUGCUGGAUGUCUAACCUGGGUCCGUGAUCCGGAUCAGGGACAGUGUCUGAUGGGUAGUUUAACUGGGGCGGUUGCCUCCUAAAGAGUAACGGAGGCGCCCAAAGGUUCCCUCAGCCUGGUUGGCAAUCAGGUGUUGAGUGUAAGUGCACAAGGGAGCUUGACUGUGAGACCGACGGGUCGAGCAGGGACGAAAGUCGGGACUAGUGAUCCGGCGGUGGCUUGUGGAAGCGCCGUCGCUCAACGGAUAAAAGGUACCCCGGGGAUAACAGGCUGAUCUUCCCCAAGAGUCCAUAUCGACGGGAUGGUUUGGCACCUCGAUGUCGGCUCGUCGCAUCCUGGGGCUGGAGUCGGUCCCAAGGGUUGGGCUGUUCGCCCAUUAAAGCGGUACGCGAGCUGGGUUUAGAACGUCGUGAGACAGUUCGGUCCCUAUCCGCUGUGCGCGUAGGAGUCUUGAGAAGGGCUGUCCCUAGUACGAGAGGACCGGGACGGACGAACCUCUGGUGUGCCAGUUGUCCUGCCAAGGGCAUGGCUGGUUGGCUACGUUCGGGAGGGAUAACCGCUGAAAGCAUCUAAGCGGGAAGCCUGCUUCGAGAUGAGGACUCCCACCCACUUGAUGGGGUAAGGCUCCCAGUAGACGACUGGGUUGAUAGGCCAGAUAUGGAAGCCGGGUGACCGGUGGAGUUGACUGGUACUAAUAGGCCGA
rfam:Streptomyces clavuligerus ATCC 27064 chromosome, whole genome shotgun sequence.